AUCGGAGCUGUCGCUACGGGUGCCCGAAAGGGCUUAAUCGGGAAGUCCGGGGCGAUCCCCUUGCGGGGGUCGAUGCCGGCACUGCUCCCGCAACUGUGACCGGAGAGCGCAUCGCCAUCGAGCCAUUGGAAGGGCAUUCCUUCCGAGAAGGCGGCGAACCGCGCGACGAUCCGGAAGUCAGGAAACCGGCCCGUUGCCGUCGUUCCUU
rnacentral:ncRNA from 2 species